CCCACCCCCCACCACUCCAGCAACCCUCAGUUUGUUUUCUGAGGUUAAGAGUUUCUUAUGGUUUGUCUCCCUCUCUGGUUUCAUCUUGUUUCAUUUUUCCUUCCCUUCCCCUAUGAUCCUCUGUCUUGUUUCUCAAAUUCCACAUAUCAGUGAGAUCAUAUGAUACUUGUCUUUCUCUGACUUAUUUCACUUAGCAUAAUACCCUCUAGUUCCAUCCACGUCGUCGUAAAUGGCAAGAUUUCAUUUUUUGAUGGCUGCAUAAUAUUCCAUUGUGUGUGUGUGUGUGUGUGUGUGUGUAUAUACACACACCAUAUUUUCUUUAAUCCAUUCAUCUGUUGAUGGACAUCUAGGCUUUUUCCAUAGUUUGGCUAUUGUGGACAUUGCUGCUAUAAACACGGGGGUGCACAUGCCCCUUCGGAUCACUACAUUUGUAUCUUUGGGGUAAAUACCCAGUAGUGCUAUUGCUGGGUCGUAGGGUAGCUAUAUUUUCAACUUUUCCAGAGUGGCUGCACCAGCAUGCAUUCCCACCAACAGUGUAGGAGGGUUCCCCUUUCUCCGCAUCCUCGCCAACGUCUGUCAUUUCCUGACUUACUGAUUUUAGCCAUUCUGACUGGUGUGAGGUGGUAUCUCAUUGAGGUUUUGAUUUGUAUUUCCCUGAUGCCGAGUGAUGUUGAGCACUUUUUCAUGUGUCUGUUGGCCAUUUGGAUGUCUUCUUUGGAAAAAUGUCUGUUCAUGUCUUCUGCCCAUUUCUUGAUUGGAUUGUUUUUUUGGGUGUUGAGUUUGAUAAGUUCUUUAUAGAUUUUGGAUACUAGCCCUUUAUCUGGUAUGUCAUUUGCGAAUAAGCUUAUUUUUUUUGUGAUCUCUAUAUCCAACAUGGGGCUUGAACUCAGGACCCUGAGAUCGAGUUGCAGCCUCUUCCCGCUGAGCCAGCCAGGUGCCUCCUUGCCAGCCUUUGUUUUUAAUACAUGGAAAAAGUCAGAUUUUCUAUCUUUUAAAAUAACCUCCUUUACCUCCAAAAAUGACACUACUGGUGGAAAUUAAGUAUGGAAACUGUUAAUUUAUUAUUUCUUUUCAUAAAGUGAAGACUCAACUGAUAACUGAUUUUAUCCUGGAAUUUCUUUUCAGGUGAAGAUUUACUGUUUUUCCCUUGAAAAGAUUUUAGAAGUGAGGUAAGGGAUGUUUUUCUAAAGUAUUCUUCACUUCAUCACCAUCAUCUCUAUUCUCAAGCAAGGGGGAAAGGGCCUUGCCCGAACUUCUGUCAGUGUUUGUUUCAGAGCCGACUGCCCGACCAGCUCCUGCCUGUGAGUGGCCCCAGCUUUAGUACAUGUAUCUAUAGCCAGAGGAGAGGAAAAGUAGUAUGAUCUGGAGGUGGGGGGUGUUACCUAGAACUCUUUCUCCUAUAAAAUGCUACUGCUUACAGUCCUCUUUAAAGGAGAAAUGGUAGGACCUCAUGGAAAUAAUUGUGCUGUGGGGUAGGAGCAGUUUUUCUACAGGUUUUUCCCACUUUGAUCCAAGAAUCAGGCAGUGAAUUUUAAUAUAAUAAAACUUACAUAAAAGUCUUUUGUGUAAAAAACCUGCUUAUUUUUGAAUUCUUCAUAUAUUGUUUAAUUGUUGAGUGUCCCUUAAAAUAGCCUGAUCUUUAACAAUGUUCUAACCUGAUCUGUAACAAUGCUUCACCAGAAAGGAGAAAGGAGAUUUCCUGAAUGUACACUCUGUGUCUAGAAAAGUAGUCUAUACCUUGUUUUGACCCCCCCAAACCCCAAUUACUGUUUUCAUUUAGUGAAGAAUGAGCUUGGAGAGGAUGGUUUGCCCAAUCUCACAUUACCUGGUAAGUGUUUGAACUUUUAACCCCGAGCAAUUGGACAGUCGUUGUGGCACUCAACUACAGUUUUUGCUUUCUUAUUUUGGCACUAGGAGAGGACUUCUUUUCUCUAACAGAGACAAAAGCAGAAUGGCAGGCAUGCAAAGAAUUCUCGUGGUGGUGCAGAAUUCUUCUAUUAUCUUGGUAUAAUUUCUAUAAAUUAUCUUUUCGGGAUGAAAAAGUUGGCCAAUUCUGUAUGUUCUUAGAAAAAAGAAACAUUGUCAGAUGUAGGCCAAGAAAGCACUUGACCUGCUGAAGCAGGAUUGCCCAGUGGUCUCAGACACAUUCCAUCAUUGAGUUCUUACUGUUGUUUGUGAACAGAUGGAUGCACCUCUGAAUUUGGUCAACACGCGAAGGAAAGUGAAAGGGGCUGGUAUUUGGUUCAGUGGCAAUCUAGGACCAAUAAGUAAUGACAUUCAGCCUGAUGAUAAGGGCCCAUGACUGCCAGACGUGGCUAUUCUUGCCCCAGGAACUUGGAAACCAGUAGUCACAAGUCUGUAUGAGGUAUUUACUUUAUGACGUUUAAUCCCAACUUUAUGGCCUCCAUCUUGUAUUAACGUAUUAAAUAUAUUUACAGAUAAUGUUGCUCCAUUUCACUUUCAUCCAGAUCAAGAUGACUGACAGCCUGAGGUAAUUUCCAAUUCGUUGCAGCCCACUGAGUCCCAGGACAACAUCCCUGGCUUUUAACAGAUUUUGCACAAAUUUCCUGUAUUCUUUAACAAUACCAGUAAGGUAGUGGUAUUAAUGUCAUAACCUGGCAGGCAACCUUGAAAAGAGUCUGGAUGGUAACAUAGUUAAACUGAAACGCAUACGUUCUCAGCCCAAUGUUAGAAUUUACUCCCGGUAGACCAGUGGUGUAGUUAUUCCCACGAGCAUCGUAUGGGAAUAUGCAAUCUUCUUUUCUCACUUAUGUUGUGGAGAGCUUUCAGAAUAAGCACACAUCAUUCUUAGCGUUUUUGGCUUCAUUGUAUAACUUUUCCCAUUAAUGAACAUUUGGAUUAUUCUCGUGUUUAUAAUUAUUACAAACAGUAUUGUAUGUUUUUGUAUAUAUGUCUUUAUAUUUGGUUUCUGUAGGAGGAAUUCGUAGAAGUGGAUUUGCUCAGAGAGUAUGCCUUGAAAAUGUAAAAGAUAAAACCAGUUUGAUUUCUAAGAUUCAUGUUAACUUACACUUCUACCAGUAAUGUGAAUGCUGGUGUCUUUAUACCUUAGCCAGUUCUGUAGAGGGUAUCAUCAAUUCUGGGCUUUGCCAAGCUAAUAGAGAAUGAUCGAAUUAUUUUAACUAUUGAGGGGUUAUCAUUUACUAUCUUUAUUGGUAAUUUAUUUUUUUUCCGGUGAGUUACCUGUUCAUGUUCUUCAUUCUUUUUCUAAUGGGCAUUGACUUAUUUUUUGUAUUGAUUCAUUAGGACUUUCCAUACAUGAUGGAUCUUAACCCUGUGUCUGUGAUGUACUUGGUUUUUCCCAGUCUUUGGAGUUGGUAUAUGGGGCCCAUCUCCAGCCAUAGAGGAUUUUCCUCCAUCCAGACUCAAGCCCAGCCCAGCAGAGGUCUUCAGCACUUCGACACACAGCGCAUCAUGUGAAGGUACGCUUCUCCCUGCAGCAACGACAUUCGUAAGGAUGGAAAUGACACUCAUCACCACCUCUCCAGUCCCCCAAAUGUAUUACCCCAGCGCCCCCUGAGUCCCGUCUCCCUUUGAAACCAGCGUUAGGAUUGGUCUCCCAAAUUUGGAGCUGACCUCGUGGCUAUGUUCCUGCUGUACAUGCACCAUUUGCUCUUCAAAGCAUUUUUUUUUUUUUUUAAAGAUUUAUGUAUUUAAGAGAGGGAGCACAUGCACGUGAGCAGGGGGGAGGGCCAGAGGGAGAGGGAGAAGCAGACUCCCUGCUGAGCGCAGAGCCUGAUGCGGGGCUCCAUUCCAGGAACCUGGGAUCAUGACCCGAGCUGAAAUCGGGAGCCAGACACUCAACUGACUGAGCCACACAGGCGCCCCUGAGCACUUUCUGUAAGCAUGGAGGCAGCUUUGGGGCCCAAGCAGAAACCCUCAGAGGCCAGACUGCUCUUGGCAAGCCCGUACACUGUGGUCGUGUGUCUCCGUGAAGUCACGCUUGGGGAAUCCGAUUCAAUGUCCUGCCGACCUUGAGUGCCGACGGCAGCGGAGGGUCACAGUCUGGCACUGAUAACCUGCAACACCCCAGUGCCAGGCCUCACGUGAGACUGUGAUCGUGGGUCCCGGAGCUCCGCGCCUUCCCCCUUCUGCUGCGCGUGCUCCUGCCCUUGCUGCCGUCUCUCUCCACGGGGGGGGGUGUCGGGGGCCACGUUUCCCUGGCAAUGGGUCCCCCACUGCAACAAACGCGUGCAAACUGCCCACUUGGGCUUGAGGCUAAGGUAGCUAGCAUCCCUGCCUUUGAACAGAAAGGUCCAUUAGUGUGGUUUGAAGAAGGUCACUCUACGUCCACGGGGUCUGAAGGCAAUGUGCCACAGGAAUUUCAAUAGGUGAUUUGACUUGCUGUUAAACAGGAGAACAGGCCCAUUACAGCAGCUCUCAGCUCUGGGCCAGAUUCUACUGAAAUCACCUAGGAACCUUAGAAAGCUAGUGACUCAGGGCCCUGAUUUAAUUGAGCUGGUGAAUUUGCUGGGCAGUAGGAUUUUUAAAAGCUUCCUAGGUGCCUCUGUUGUGCAGCGCACCGUGUCUGUCCUCAAGUGGGAUGCUGUCGGGGCACGUGAAGGGAUAAUUCCGUGGGUUCAGGUGGAGCCCUGGGCAGGGGAAUUUUAAGGAAUAGGACUAUGAAAAAAUUUAAGCCCUGAAAGUGCUUAUAAUUUAGUGA